rnacentral:lncRNA from 1 species
UCCUCAUGAGGUCUGGUUAAUAUCAGGAAUUAUUGCCUCAAACGCUGCAGGUUCAACCUGGAUCAGAAGCCAAGACCAAUGCUGCACUUGGAAGGGACGACCAAUAGUUCUGUGUUCCUGACCUGUCUUACAGUCUUUCGCUUCUAUCCGCAGUGGACCGUUUGGCUGAUCACGUCACUCUACAGCUGAACUUCUGCCACAUUUGAGCACCCACAUUAAAGACAAAAGUUGGGGAGAUAAUGGAGAGGCAAGACAACAAUAUGGGAUUGGCUGGAAAGAUGACAGACUGCAUAUGUACAUCAAAUAAAUUCCAAACGCAGCCGUCUAUUCCCAAGGUUUGGACAAAACAAAGGAACGAAUGUGGAACAGAAGUUUCAAAGACCUCUACGGAAAGAUAAAGUUCUCGGAGAUUGGUUAGCCUACAGUAUCUAAGUGGUCUGUAAUAUAUUUGUAACCCUAAUGACCUGCUGCUGAAGGAUAAUCAAACCACAGUGACUAGGAAAUCAUUUCAUCAUUCCAUAAAGAUCUGCUGAGCCCCUCUAGGUGCUGAGGACUAUGGAAAGAGGCCACAGUCAGGGGAGAUAGUCUUUGCCCUUAAUUGCUCAAGAAUGAAGUGGGUGCAAUCCUGGAACUCACAGUUGGGCAGGGGCAGUUUUCAGAUAUGACAGGCCUGCUUUCCUGAGAUAUGACUCAGCCUAGAAUAAAUAUUUGUGCUUCAUCGAAGGGUUUUACCAUUA